AGUUGUGUUCAACAUGUAGCUUGAAGUUCAAGUCUCACUUGGAAGGUCAAAAUAUCUUUGGGAGAAGUCUGAUAAACGUGGAGAGGUAAAAAAAAUGGCAUUUGACUUUUUCAUAUGAGGAUUCAUGAAGGAGGUAAUCAACUAGUGGCAUUUGGUCUAUCUCAGAAGUGAGUUUGAAGAAUCAAGAUAAUCUACAUAUGGCAACUAAUUAUUCUUGAGGAUUG
rnacentral:lncRNA from 1 species